rnacentral:rRNA from 1 species
AGCGAACGCUGGCGGCAGGCCUAACACAUGCAAGUCGAACGAACCUUUCGGGGUUAGUGGCGGACGGGUGAGUAACACGUGGGAACGUGCCUUUAGGUUCGGAAUAACUCAGGGAAACUUGUGCUAAUACCGAAUGUGCCCUUCGGGGGAAAGAUUAAUCGCCUUUAGAGCGGCCCGCGUCUGAUUAGCUAGUUGGUUGAGGUAAUGGCUCACCAAGGCGACGAUCAGUAGCUGGGCUGAGAGGAUGAUCAGCCACAUUGGGACUGAGACACGGCCCAAAAUCCUACGGGAGGCAGCAGUGGGGAAUCUUGCGCAAUGGGCGAAAGCCUGACGCAGCCAUGCCGCGUGAAUGAUGAAGGUCUUAGGAUUGUAAAAUUCUUUCACCGGGGACGAUAAUGACGGUACCCGGAGAAGAAGCCCCGGCUAACUUCGUG